AAAUUGAAUUGUGCAAGUGAAUUGAUGAUUAUACAUGCUUCAGUUUCUGAAGAUUGGGAAGUAAUCCUCGUGACAUUUCCAUGCAAAUCUUUUUAAAUCCACUUUUGGGUGACUCAUUCUUUAUUAUAUUGAACUUAAAUUCACAUUUCCGUGCCGAGAUUUGUGAAGUUCACUUUUUCUUUUCUGGGUGUAGCAUCUGCAGGCCUACAUGCAAUCAUUAUUUUUGUUAAGCAACAGAAUGCUACAGUUAUGUCCAGAGUUACAGGCGAGGGGCGAGGAGAGUUGGUUUAUGUUGGUAUUCAACUGGUUGCUUCUUAUGGUUAGGAGAAUGCAUGCUCCCGAGCCAUAGAAGAAACCAGCAGGUGGACAAAGUUGAGGGCCUGAGGCAGCAAUAGUUCUUCAAAGGCACUGGGCAAUAAUUGAUUGGUCGAAGGUACCAUUUUCUGUCGAACUUCAGUUGUCAGGGAAGAAAUUGUUUCUAUAUGUGCCUUUGGUUUUCUUUCGCUUAGGGAGAUCAUACAGUUCUUAUUUCAGGGCAAUAGAUUCUUCGGCUAGAUAAGAAAGAGCACUCUGAUUAAUUAGAUCAGAAGUUGCUUUUUCCAUCGAGCUUCAGUUGACAGGGAAGAAGUUGUUUAUGUCUAUGCCUUUGCUUUUAUUUUACUUAGGGAGUUUGCAUAGUUUUUUUCAGGGGAAGAGAUUCUUCAGCUAGAUGAGAAAGAGCACUCUGAUUAAUUAGAUCAGAAGUUGCGUGUGAUGAUGAUUGCUCGUGUAGACUACAAUGGCACCAACCACCAAGCGAGGUCAUCAGUGAGGCGCCGUUGGAUAUGAGUAAAGCUUCUUGACCUAUAUGAUUCAUGGUUUGGCAUGUUUGCUUCAUCGGAGUGCUUUAUGUACUUAGUCUGAGAUGAUUGAGAUCCUUAACUUGCAUUGGUUUAUUUUUGCCGCAUCUCCUGAAAUACAUUAGUGAAAGCUUAGCAGUGCUGAUCUUCUAAACUUGAAGUUAGGACUUGCUUAACCUCAUAAUAAUUUAGUAUUGGAGAGUGCAGAAAUCAUUUUGAUGAAACAAUGAACAAGAAACUUGGGGCACUCUGGGUAAUCAGCUGAUCUGACAGGAGUGGUGACAGUAGCAGCAGCAUGUCUGAUACAAGAUCCCAGAAUAGUGAUUGGAGCAUUAAAGCCAUGGAAUCGACGAAACAACGUCAUUUCAUCAAGGAAGGGGCUGUACUUUCCUUACAGAGCACGGCUCAUUAUGCGAGGCGUCCGUCAUUGCAACAUCUUGUCCAGGCAAAUGAUCCCCUUCUACUAAAUUGAACUUAUUGGCAUCCAACUAUAUGUGAUACCCACUUCUCCAUAAAUAGAAGUCAUUUUACAAGCAUGCAGUCCUUAUUAUUUUUCACAAGGGACAUCCUUUUAACAGUUUCCCCCCUUCUUUGAUGAUGCAGGCUAGCUCAUUCAUUAGGGCUUA